rnacentral:misc_RNA from 1 species
UAGCAGCGACAAUUUUUUGGUGUACAAAAUAAUAAACAAGAUUCCGUUUGUAAAAUUUUCCCUUCAACGCAAAAUCAUAAUGGAAGAUAUCAAGCAGUUAUUGCAACAGAAUGUCUACCGAUAUGAAUCAACGGACUCUAAUUCAGCCACCGAUAGCGAAGAGAGUACAAUUUCAGGUGUGAAAAACUGUGUAAAGGCAGUUUGUCAAGGUCGAAUGCCAACUAGGCGGCCCAAUCCAAAUGUUCAAAAUAGAAAUGCUUUGUUGGCACGGGAAAAUCGUCGAAAGAAGAAAGCGCAUUUAGAGGCAAUGGAGAAGGAGUUGGAAGAAGUGCGAUCGGCUAAUAAGCAACUUAAGAAGGCGUUGAAACAGCAAAUGAAAGCAGUAGGCCAACUUCAACGAGAAAAAAGGUAUUUUCAGAGCGUUAUUGCAAAUCACAAAGAAAUAGAGAAUCUUAUUAAAGCUCUGAAUGUUCGAAUGCAUGUUCAGCAGUCUCCGGCCGUAAGUUCGCCGAUGCUGAGUUCUCCAGUUCAUUCGUAUACCAGUCAGCAAUUAUGCCAGUCGUCAAGGAUUGUACAUCAAACAAACGGUUUGGACAAUGUUGAAUGGAAUGUCGCAUCCACAUCGGAAAAUUCGGAUAAUGAAAAUUUAUCUUCAGAUUUCAUACCAUCGUCAGCUUUUAAUGAUACAUGGGUCGAUAUCUUACACGAAGACCACGAAGACCUAGGAACUAAAGGUUUAACAAAAUUAACCCCAGUUGGAGUAGAGCAUAGUUAUGCCGAUGUUGAUCAAGUGCCAUCACUUGAAAGUAUAGAAUCUGAUGCGGGCAUUUGCUUACAUAUAAGAAAACUAGUCUAAUAAUGUUAUUUAUGCUUUAAUGAAAUGUAAGGUUUUGUCAUCGCUUAAUCGGAGUGCGUAAAGUAUUAAGCAUACUAACUUGCAGUCUAACGGCUUUCAACCUAUAUACAACAAAAAAUAAAUCUUUGGUUUGCUGCCUAAUAAAACGAAUUAUGGUAAUUCUGUAAAUUGUUAUAAAUUUUGUUAUAACUUGGUUGAAUUAAUAAGCAGAAUAUUCCAAUUAUGUAAAUGCUUGUAAAAUAGACUACCUAUUCCUUAUAUUUUAGAGCACUCCGAAUUAUAUUCGAUAAAAUGUGUUUUUGGAUGUAUAAGUUAAAAUAUUUA